rnacentral:tRNA from 1 species
GGUGAUAUAGUUUAAAGGGAAAAUAAUUAUUUCAUACGUAAUAAGAUAGAGGUUCAAUUCCUCUUUUCACCU